GUGCUCACUUUGGCAGCGCAUACACUAAAAUUAGAAUGAUAAGAGAAGGUUAGCAUGGUCCCUGAGCAAAGCUGACUUGCAAAUUCGUGAAACAUUCCAGAUUUUU
ensembl:snRNA U6 U6 spliceosomal RNA